GCAGUGAUGGUUCAGUGGUAGAAUUCUUAGUGCAGGAGACCUGGGUUAGAUUCCCAGCCAAUACA
rnacentral:tRNA from 1 species